AGUUUGAUCCUGGCUCAGAAUGAACGCUGGCGGCGUGCCUAACACAUGCAAGUCGGACGAGAACGGGAGUCUUCGGAUUCCUUAGUAAAGUGGCGCACGGGUGAGUAACGCGUGGGUAAUCUACCCUUUUGUCUGGGAUAACGUUCCGAAAGGAGCCCUAAUACCGGAUAAGACCACAGGGACUUCGGUUCAAGGGGUAAAAGGUCCUGCAAGGGACUGCGAGAGGAUGAGCCUGCGUGACAUUAGAUUGAUGGUAGGGUAAUGGCCUACCAUAUUGUCAACGAUGUCUAGCUGGUCUGAGAGGAUGAUCAGCCACACUGGGACUGGAACACGGCCCAGACUCCUACGGGAGGCAGCAGUGAGGAAUUUUGCGCAAUGGGGGAAACCCUGACGCAGCAACGCCGCGUGAGUGAAGAAGGCCUUUUGGUUGUAAAGCUCUGUCGCCCGGAAAGAAACGUGGGGGUAGGAAAUGACCUUCAUUUGACGGUACCGGGAAAGGAAGGACCGGCUAACUCCGUGCCAGCAGCCGCGGUAAUACGGGGGGUCCAAGCGUUAUUCGGAAUCAUUGGGUGUAAAGCGCAUGCAGGCGGUUGGGUAUGUCAGAUGUGAAAGCCCGGGGCUUAACCCCGGAAGAGCAUUUGAAACUGCCCGGCUUGAGUCUCGGAGAGGAAAGUGGAAUUCCCAGUGUAGAGGUGGAAUUCGUAGAUAUUGGGAGGAACACCGGUGGCGAAAGCGACUUUCUGGACGAAGACUGACGCUCAGAUGCGAAAGCGUGGGUAGCAAACAGGAUUAGAUACCCUGGUAGUCCACGCUGUAAACGAUGGGUACUAGGUGUCGGGGGUAUUGACCCCUUCGGUGCCGAAGCUAACGCAUUAAGUACCCCACCUGGGGACUACGGCCGCAAGGCUAAAACUCAAAGGAAUUGACGGGGGCCCGCACAAGCGGUGGAGCAUGUAGUUUAAUUCGAUGAUACGCGAGAAACCUUACCUGGGUUUGACAUACUGAGUAAUAUGGCAGAGAUGACAUAGCGUAGCAAUACGACUCAGAACAGGUGCUGCA
rnacentral:rRNA from 1 species